rnacentral:rRNA from 1 species
CCUACGGGAUGCUGCAGUGGGGAAUAUUGGACAAUGGGCGAAAGCCUGAUCCAGCCAUGCCGCGUGUGUGAAGAAGGCCUUCGGGUUGUAAAGCACUUUCAGUGGGGAAGAAAGCCUUGGGGCUAAUACCCUCGAGGAAGGACAUCACCCACAGAAGAAGCACCGGCUAACUCCGUGCCAGCAGCCGCGGUAAUACGGAGGGUGCGAGCGUUAAUCGGAAUUACUGGGCGUAAAGCGCGCGUAGGCGGUCUGAUAAGCCGGUUGUGAAAGCCCCGGGCUCAACCUGGGAACGGCAUCCGGAACUGUCAGGCUAGAGUGCAGGAGAGGAAAGUAGAAUUCCCGGUGUAGCGGUGAAAUGCGUAGAGAUCGGGAGGAAUACCAGUGGCGAAGGCGGCCUUCUGGACUGACACUGACGCUGAGGUGCGAAAGCGUGGGUAGCAAACAGGAUUAGAUACCCCUGUAGUC